rnacentral:rRNA from 1 species
GGGUGGUAAUGCCGGAUGCUCCAGCACACUGCAUGGUGUGUUGGGAAAGCCUUUGCGGCAUGGGAUGGGGUCGCGUCCUAUCAGCUUGAUGGCGGGGUAACGGCCCACCAUGGCUUCGACGGGUAGCCGGCCUGAGAGGGCGACCGGCCACAUUGGGACUGAGAUACGGCCCAGACUCCUACGGGAGGCAGCAGUGGGGAAUAUUGCACAAUGGGCGCAAGCCUGAUGCAGCGACGCCGCGUGAGGGAUGGAGGCCUUCGGGUUGUAAACCUCUUUUGUUAGGGAGCAAGGCAUUUUGUGUUGAGUGUACCUUUCGAAUAAGCACCGGCUAACUACGUGCCAGCAGCCGCGGUAAUACGUAGGGUGCAAGCGUUAUCCGGAAUUAUUGGGCGUAAAGGGCUCGUAGGCGGUUCGUCGCGUCCGGUGUGAAAGUCCAUCGCUUAACGGUGGAUCCGCGCCGGGUACGGGCGGGCUUGAGUGCGGUAGGGGAGACUGGAAUUCCCGGUGUAACGGUGGAAUGUGUAGAUAUCGGGAAA